UGGGGAAUUUUGGACAAUGGGCGCAAGCCUGAUCCAGCCAUUCCGCGUGAGUGAAGAAGGCCUCCGGGUUGUAAAGCUCUUUCGCAAGGGAAGAAACGAUUUAGACGAAUAAUCUAAGUUAAUGACGGUACCUUGAUAAGAAGCACCGGCUAACUACGUGCCAGCAGCCGCGGUAAUACGUAGGGUGCGAGCGUUAAUCGGAAUUACUGGGCGUAAAGCGUGCGCAGGCGGUUUUGUAAGUCAGAUGUGAAAUCCCCGAGCUCAACUUGGGAACUGCGUUUGAAACUACAAGACUAGAAUAGGUCAGAGGGGGGUAGAAUUCCACGUGUAGCAGUGAAAUGCGUAGAGAUGUGGAGGAAUAUCAAUGGCGAAGGCAGCCCCCUGGGAUCAUAUUGACGCU
rnacentral:rRNA from 1 species